rnacentral:rRNA from 1 species
CCUACGGGAGGCAGCAGUUAGGAAUAUUCGUCAAUGGGGGAAACCCUGAACGAGCAAUGCCGCGUGAACGAUGAAGGCCCUAUGGGUUGUAAAGUUCUGUUGUUUGGAACGAAUAACUAGAUGAGGAAAUGCUUCUAGUCUGACGGUACCAUUCAAGAAAGCCACGGCUAACUACGUGCCAGCAGCCGCGGUAAUACGUAGGUGGCGAGCGUUAUCCGGAUUUAUUGGGUUUAAAGGGUGCGUAGGCGGAGUGUCAAGUCAGCGGUAAAAUUUCGGGGCUCAACCCCGUCGUGCCGUUGAAACUG